GCGGGGGCGAGCCCAUCAGUCCCUGCGGCGCAGGGAAUGCCGGUCGCGAUGCGGGGAGAGCCGGACCCGAAGGAAAUGGAACGGGAUGGUCUGCCACAGUCGAUUGGGGCACGGUUCCUGGAGCGAUCGCAGGAGGACCCUUGGAUUCUGGGUGGCAGGGACGCAGCAGAUAUUCUGAGUGUGAGUUGCCUGACUGGCUGUUUUGAGAAGACCUACACCAUGCUGUGAGGAAGCUGUGCUGCUGUUGGACUGCUCCUCACUAGGAGGUGGAAAAUCAGCCAGACAUAGGAAUCUCUUAUUGGAGACCACUGAAGAUGAGCCACUGUCUGUCAUCCUGUUCAUCUCUGCAGUGUUUUCUUCAGCAGGAAGCCCUUUAUGGAUUCUCCAUGCCCUAUUCCAUCCAUGGGGAACAGAGGGGUUCCCCUCCCUGGGCUUCCCUGCAUGUGGCUCCCAGGUCUUUUGUCAAAAGAAACACUUCAGCACAGAGGAAUAUUUGUUCAAAAAGAGCACAGCUGG